rnacentral:rRNA from 1 species
GUCUACGGCCAUACCAUUUGGAAUGCUCCUGGUCUCCUCUGAUCUUGGAAGCUAAGCAGCGUCGGUCCUGGUUCAUACUUGGAUGGGAGACAAAUAAUGGCCAUGAAGGAUCGUUUGAUA